AAGAUUUUAUCUUAAUUAAAGAGUCUGAGUUGCAUUCAGGAGAUGUGGGGUAACGUCCCGCAAGUCUUA
rnacentral:tRNA from 1 species